rnacentral:rRNA from 1 species
CUCAAAUAUUUAAACGGAGAAAUUCAAUACUGCCUUUUAAAAGCGGUGUGCACUUUUCUUUUAGUAAGACGUUGUGAUCCAUUAGGAAUUGAUAUUCUUUUAGGAUAUUAUUUGGCUAUCAAUAGACUGAUAUGAAGUUCAUUAAUUGUUACACAAUAUUAUCGUUUAUGGUUAUAUAUAGUGACUAAUGAGCAUAUUAUGUUCUGUGUAGCUGCCUGAUGGAUUUUAAAGGUCAUAUCAUUAAUGCUUUAUUGCAUUAUCCCUAUUAAGUUAAGGAAAUAAAUAUGUACCCGAUCAACAACGGUUAAAUUUGGGAUACCUUUAGGACCCGUCUUGAAACACGGACCAAGGAGUCUAUCUAGUAUGCAAGUAAAUGGGCAUAUGAAACCUAUUUGCAUAAAUAACUUGACUGUUUUUUUAUGGGAUUACGAUUAUUAUUAUAUAUGAUGAUCCUCCAUCCCGGGGUAUUUUUAUCAACAUAUAAGUAAUUAUAUGAAAAAUAUACCAUGAGCAUACUGGAUAUGACCCGAAAGAUGGUGAACUAUGCCUGAUCAGGUUGAAGUCAGGGGAAACCCUGAUGGAGGACCGAAGCAAUUCUGACGUGCAAAUCG